rnacentral:rRNA from 1 species
CUAUAGCUUGACACUGAACAUUGAGCCUUGAUGUGUAGGAUAGGUGGGAGGCUUUGAAGCGUGGACGCCAGUCUGCGUGGAGCCGACCUUGAAAUACCACCCUUUAAUGUUUGAUGUUCUAACGUGGACCCGUAAUCCGGGUUGCGGACAGUGUCUGGUGGGUAGUUUGACUGGGGCGGUCUCCUCCUAAAGAGUAACGGAGGAGCACGAAGGUUGGCUAAUCCUGGUCGGACAUCAGGAGGUUAGUGCAAUGGCAUAAGCCAGCUUGACUGCGAGCGUGACGGCGCGAGCAGGUGCGAAAGCAGGUCAUAGUGAUCCGGUGGUUCUGAAUGGAAGGGCCAUCGCUCAACGGAUAAAAGGUACUCCGGGGAUAACAGGCUGAUACCGCCCAAGAGUUCAUAUCGACGGCGGUGUUUGGCACCUCGAUGUCGGCUCAUCACAUCCUGGGGCUGAAGUAGGUCCCAAGGGUAUGGCUGUUCGCCAUUUAAAGUGGUACGCGAGCUGGGUUUAGAACGUCGUGAGACAGUUCGGUCCCUAUCUGCCGUGGGCGCUGGAGAACUGAGGGGGGCUGCUCCUAGUACGAGAGGACCGGAGUGGACGCAUCACUGGUGUUCGGGUUGUCAUGCCAAUGGCACUGCCCGGUAGCUAAAUGCGGAAGAGAUAAGUGCUGAAAGCAUCUAAGCACGAAACUUGCCCCGAG